CAAGUCGAACGGACUUGAUCUUCGGAUCAAGUUAGUGGCGCAAGGGUGAGUAAGGCGACGGUAACCAACCUUGGAAUUGGGAAUAGCCGCGGGAAACUGCGGGUAAUACCCAGCGAUGCAGCGAACCGGCAUCGGUUUGUUGUCAAAGCUCCGGCGUUCCAAGACGGGCUGUCGUGGUAUUAGGUAGUUGGCGGGGUAACGGCCCACCAAGCCUUCGAUGCCUACCGGGCGUGCGAGCGUGGCCCGGCACACUGGGACUGAGACACUGCCCAGACACCUACGGGUGGCUGCAGUCGAGAAUCUUCGGCAAUGGGCGCAAGCCUGACCGAGCGACGCCGCGUGGAGGAUGAAGGCCUUCGGGUUGUAAACUCCUGUCGAGGGGGAGGAAGGGGAAACCUUGACCGAUCCCUGGAGGAAGCACGGGCUAAGUUCGUGCCAGCAGCCGCGGUAAGACGAACCGUGCGAACGUUAUUCGGAAUCACUGGGCUUAAAGCGCGCGUAGGCGGAUGGGAACGUCGGUCGUUGAAAGCCCCUGGCUCAACCAGGGAACUGGCACCGAAACGACCCGUCUGGAGGGGCAUAGGGGGAUCUGGAACUUCCGGUGGAGCGGUGAAAUGCGUUGAGAUCGGAAGGAACGCCCGUGGCGAAAGCGAGAUCCUGGAUGUCUUCUGACGCUGAGACGCGAAAGCUAGGGUAGCGAACGGGAUUAGAUACCCCGGUAGUCCUAGCCGUAAACGAUGAGCACUGGGUAGGGGGCUCUCCGAUGGGCUCCCUGCCGUAGGGAAACCGUGAAGUGCUCCGCCUGGGGA
rnacentral:rRNA from 1 species